rnacentral:snRNA from 1 species
GGAUGUGAGGGUAAUCUGGCUGAGACAUCUGUCCCCCCAUUGAUUGCCAGGGUUGGUUCGGCUGAUCUGGAUGGCUAGGCGGGUGUCCCUUUCCUCCCUCACUGCUCCAAGUGCGUUCCUCCUGAAGCUGCGCUCUUGGUCAAAGGGGAUGACCUUACCCUCUAGAGGAGGACUGGUCUUCGGUCAAGCGUAUACGAGUAGCUACAUUCCCCUGCUAGAACCUCCAAACAAGCUAUCAAGAAGUCAUAUUUCAACUAUAUCCCAAAUAUUGUGCAUUAUCAAGAUAGUAGAAAACCUUGAUAAUGUAGUAAUCAUUUAAAAGUCAUAUCAUUUAGUAAAAAUAUGUAAUU